rnacentral:rRNA from 1 species
GGGAUUGCCCCAGUAACGGCGAGUGAAGCGGCAACAGCUCAAAUUUGAAAUCUGGCUCCCAGAGCCCGAGUUGUAAUUUGUAGAGGAUGCUUUUGAUGCGGUGCCUUCCGAGUUCCCUGGAACGGGACGCCAUAGAGGGUGAGAGCCCCGUCUGGUCGGAUGCCAAAUCUCUGUAAAGCUCCUUCGACGAGUCGAGUAGUUUGGGAAUGCUGCUCAAAAUGGGAGGUAUAUGUCUUCUAAAGCUAAAUACCGGCCAGAGACCGAUAGCGCACAAGUAGAGUGAUCGAAAGAUGAAAAGCACUUUGAAAAGAGGGUUAAAUAGUACGUGAAAUUGUUGAAAGGGAAGCGCCUAUGACCAGACUUGGGCCCGGUGAAUCAUCCAGCGUUCUCGCUGGUGCACUUUGCCGGGCACAGGCCAGCAUCAGUUUGUCUUGGGGGAAAAAGGCUUUGGGAACGUGGCUCCCCCGGGAGUGUUAUAGACCAUUGCAUAAUACCCUGAGAUGGACUGAGGUUCGCGCAUCUGCAAGGAUGCUGGCGUAAUGGUCAUCAGCGACCCGUCUUGAAACACGGACCAAGGAGUCGUCUUCGUAUGCGAGUGUUCGGGUGUAAAACCCCUACGCGUAAUGAAAGUGAACGCAGGUGAGAGCUUCGGCGCAUCAUCGACCGAUCCUGAUGUUCUCGGAUGGAUUUGAGUAAGAGCAUACGGGGCCGGACCCGAAAGAAGGUGAACUAUUCCUGUAUAGGGUGAAGCCAGAGGAAACUCUGGUGGAGGCUCGCAGCGGUUCUGACGUGCGAAUCGAUCGUCAAAUAUGGGAAUGGGGGCGAAAGACUAAUCGAACCUUC